rnacentral:rRNA from 1 species
GUAGGGAAUAUUGGGCAAUGGAGGCAACUCUGACCCAGCCAUGCCGCGUGCAGGAUGACGGCCCUCUGGGUUGUAAACUGCUUUUAUACGGGAAGAAAAAAUACUACGUGUAGUAUACUGACGGUACCGUAAGAAUAAGGAUCGGCUAACUCCGUGCCAGCAGCCGCGGUAAUACGGAGGAUCCAAGCGUUGUCCGGAUUUCUUGGGUUUAAAGGGUGCGUAGGCGGAUCUUUAAGUCAGUGGUGAAAGCCUGCAGCUUAACUGUAGAAUUGCCAUUGAAACUGAAGAUCUUGAAUGUGGUUAAAGUAGGCGGAAUGUAUCAUGUAGCGGUGAAAUGCUUAGAUAUGAUACAGAACACCGAUAGCGAAGGCAGCUUGCUGAACCAUUAUUGCCGCUGAGGCACGAAAGCGUGGGGAGCGAACAGGAUUAGAUACCCUAGUAGUCC